rnacentral:rRNA from 1 species
AUUGAACGCUAGCGGGAUGCCUUACACAUGCAAGUCGAACGGAGUGGCGAACGGGUGAGUAAUGUAUCGGAACGUGCCCAGUAGCGGGGGAUAACUACGCGAAAGCGUAGCUAAUACCGCAUACUCUUGGAGCGGCCGAUAUCGGAUUAGCUAGUUGGUGGGGUAACGGCUCACCAAGGCGCCGAGCCGUAGCUGGAUUGAGAGGACGACCAGCCAAACUGGGACUGAGAGCAGGCCCAGACGCCUACGGGAGGCAGCAAUGGGGAAUUUUGGACAAUGGGGGAAACCCAGAAGCAGCCAUACCGCGUGUGGGAUGAAGGCCUUCGGGUUGUAAAGCACUUUUGGCAGGAAAGCGGUACCUGCAGAAUAAGCACCGGCUAACUACGUGCCAGCAGCCGCGGUAAUUC